GUUGAUAUGUGCAGUUAUGGCAGCUCGUUGUCAACAGUUCAGCUAAAGCUAUUUUCUUCAAAAAUUACCAAUGAAUUCGUUGGAGAAAAUGUGAAAGGGACAUGCAGCCUACUGUCAACUAUUCUGUUGUAAAUCCUGGCAUCCUACUGAAUGUGUCAUCCAAAUGACAGAGGAUUCAUCAUAAUUAUCGACUGAUUCUAUUGGACUUGCUAGAUCACCAAC